CAAUAAGGAUCAGAGAUGGAGGUUGACCACCACAGAAUCGACCUGUUGAACAAGGUCACAAGAAAACAUGGAACCUCACAACCACUUGCAGAAGGUCAAACUCUAGGAACUCCAGUAGAAUAUGUUCUCUAGUGGGAACUUGAAUGGACCACAGACACAUCCUAUGGCAAAAAUGUAAAGAUAAACUGCUGUGAAAGUUUCCGAUGCUGCCUUUGGUACAACUCCAUCAGGUACACCGCACAGGGACCUGUCUGCAACUAUGUUGAGUUCUAUAGGCAAGUAGUCAUUAUUUAAAUUGACUUGCAGUACCUACAGAAACUUGAGGUUAAUGUCUUGCUCAAGUGCCAGUCUUUCAGUUACUAAACCCGAGUAUUAACCACUACCAGUCCUACGAGAUUGAAAGCAGCUUCGCCCACAACCCUUACCCCAUGAUGUGACUCCCACAGCCACCCAGCGUCCAUCUGCUCUGGGGCAGAGGAGGGGACCCCCAGAAUCCCCCUGGAGCACAUGAGGACAGAGAGGAACUCAAAGCCAUCUUUGGACCAUCUUUACCAACCUGAACCACUCUCAUAGGUGUUAGUAAUUUGCGGGAUGUUAAUACUGUAAUUCAAAGUUAAUGUUGGGGGAACAUCUUUAGUGUCAACUUACUUGGCAGGCAUCUCUCCCUCCUCUCUCUGGGCCAGCACACAGGACUGUGAAGGUCUUCUGCCCAGGUCUAAGUGUUUGUAGGACAUGUUUGCACUUGUUUUGCUCUAACAGGUUCAGUUGCACCUCCUGAAGAACCGAAGAAAGUGGCCCUUCUAAAGAAAAGGCAGACCUCUUCACCUUUAUGGUUUUAGAUAUUUGAAAUCUUUCUCUCAAGUAUUAAUUGUUAUUUCAAUGUUGUUCAAAUGACUUCUCACUCUCAGUAAUACGACCCCAUCCACCAACAACACACAUGGUCUUGGGUGGAAACCUCUCACCAGGGUAAGGCAGGCAAACAGGCUUAAUAAAAUCACCUAGAAAACACACAUAUUGUGUUUAUCUCUAAAAAUAGUUCUAAAACUAUAUGAAAAUACAUAAAUUGUGGUAAUCUCACAGAAUGACUUGCCAAAGUGAAUCCGUCCUUUGAUCUCAAGCAAAGCAAUGUCGUAGCUCAUGGGAGAGGAGCGCUGAUAUUUUUCAUGGAACUUUAUGGACUUUACCUGGAAGUUCUGCUCCCCUCUGUCAACUUUUGUUUGGUUUAAAUCACCUGCUACAGCCUCAAUUUUGUGCAGGAAGUCCCUAGGGCAGGCAGUUAUAUUUGAGAGAAAGUCACUGAAGUGUUGACAGAGUUAAAAGUUAUGAUUAGUCAUGGUUAAAUUGAGUGGACCUACGUGGAUACACUUGCAAAGCAAUGAGCAGCGGUCAAAAGCCAGUGUUCUGUCAAGAUCGCUGCAGCACAGAAAUGCGAUCCUCUGAUCCUAAGCGACACCUGUAGAUGAUAGAAUGAAUUUUUCAUACUGACAUAUACUUCAAUGCCUUUUGGAAUGUAAAAACUGUAGUAUUGCAUUAGUUUAUAAUGCAAUUUGUAAGGUUGAACAGUUACGUGCCAGCCACGGAUGGGAACCUCGUCUGGCCUCUGAUCCUCCAAUAACCCUCAAAGAACGGUCAAGGAUGCCUCUAACCUUAGUAGAUCCACAUUUUGCAUCUGGGUAUGGCAGGACAAAACUUUGUCAUUAAUCUGUGACUUGUUCCCGUACAAAUGAAUUAAACAUUUUCUUACCACUAGCAUGAACAGCAAAGGCCAUUCCAAGACAACCCAACAAGAUGAGAAAACCAACAAAGGUUCUGUAGGAUAAUUCAGACAUUCUGUGUCCUCUUCUGUUAAAGACUAAGAUCGGGGUAUUUAUAGAAGGGAUGGAGGGGUGGUCUUUUUGACAAAUGGAGUACUGUGGUUACUCAUUAACUUCACACAGGAAACAGGCGUGUUGAACAGAAGAUUGCAUGGUUACAAAGAGCAUCAGCAGAAAAAAGAUUUUACAGCCACUUGUGAUUCAGCUGAAGGAGAAAAGUUCCUCCAUUGACAAUGAUGUUUCCCUCAAGGACCAGAAUGACCUUUUAAUCUAAAGGUUUAUUGGAAGCUGUUGGAUUUUUAGCACUCUCAGACUUUUUGCUUAAAAUUGUGCACUCACAUUCAAUAUGUAAUAAAUAUACAAUUAAUAAUGAAACAGAAUGAAGAUAUUAGGCAAUUUAUGAAUUCAUUUAAGUGGGAGUUUAAGUAGAUUCUUUCUCUCAUAAUUCAAAUCUUUAAAGAGGAUAUACUCAACAAUUCCAAACAUUUCUGAAAGGAAAUGGACAUUAUUUGUUGUAUGCCGUUUUAGCUAUGAGUUUAAUGUGUGUAUUUUGCAGAUUCCUAUUGAACUUUAAUUUUCUACCAGUUAAACUAAACCCUAUUAUCUAGUUUGAUCUCACACAUUUUAGACAUUCGAAAGAUUUGUGAAUUCGUGUACUAGAUGCAUUUGAAAAAAACCAUGCCAAUCCACUCUGCUUUGCCUGUGUCAGAGAAUUUACACAAACCAGAUGUCUAGUAAACAGUAGGGAAGCUCUUCUUAAUACAAAAGACAAUUGUAGCUGUGAUGGUAUGAAACUCACCACUGGCGACACCAAACCAAACAAGGAUGGGUAUCCUGUCAUAAAAUUGUCAACACAUUUGUGCUUUUGUCUGCAGAGAACAAAAGCUGAAGAAAUUCUUCUUGCAAAAAGAAUCUUAGACAAAUUGACUUGUCAAGUUCAGUCUAUUCAACCAAGGCCCCAAAUCACCACAAACAGAAGCUGAGGGGGAGAGAAAGAUAUAAAUUCAUAUGCUGUUUAAACCCAACUGUCAAUUGUUCCAUGCAAAUGUAGUCCAGCACAAUAGUUCUAGUGAACUA